UCCCUCUUAGCUCAGUGGUAGAGCGCGUCACUAGUAUCGCAAAAGAACUUCCAGGUACAUGACGAGGUCAGUCGUUCAAGUCGGCUAGAGGGAA